UACAGAGGUCUCAAGCGUUGUUCGGAUUCAUUGGGCGUAAAGGGUGCGUAGGCGGCGCGGUAAGUCGGGUGUGAAACUCGUCGGGCUAACUCCGAAACUGCAUUCGAUACUGCGGUGCUUGAGGACUGGAGAGGAGACUGGAAUUCAUGGUGUAGCAGUGAAAUGCGUAGAUAUCGUGAGGAAGACCAGUGGCGAAGGCGGGUCUCUGGACAGUUCCUGACACUGAGGCACGAAGGCCAGGGGAGCAAACGGG
rnacentral:rRNA from 1 species